GUGCAAUUCGCAUGCUGACUGCAGGAAUGUCUGAGCGCGACCUGUUGAGAGUUCCCAGUUGUCUUGAAAGCACCAUAAAUCCAAAGACUACCAGACUUUGAUGACAAAGUUUGAUGAACAAAUUUGACCACAAGAAGGACUUGUUCAACUGAGCACAGCACAACAAGUAAUUAACACUGAUGACGGCGGCACGAGGAAGCUGGAUGGUCGGACGGAAUGGAGACGCCAGAUACAACGACAGGGCGAGAAGGGUGACUGUUACCGGAGUGGAGUGAUAUGGAAGGUUGUAAUCUCAGAGGAUGUGGGCCAGAGCAGCGUGGAUGGGCAAUGAGAAGGAAGUGUUAUUCCAGAGCAUCGGAUCAAACAACCGAACUGUGUGGUGUCCCCCAAAUCAAUAUGAGCAGUAAAGCGAUUGGUCCACAGCCUCUCUGAAUGGGAAGUCAUUUCAGCUUCUGAGGAUAAAACUGAAAUCAGAAUCAAAACAGGCAAUGUGAAGAUGUUGGAAAUCACAGACGCCAGCGAGGUGGGAGAUCUCCAAGACAAACCAACAACAAAAACAGAGAAUCUGCCGCAAUGAGAGAAGAUCGCAAUUGGGGAGAGAAAGAAGAAAAUAGAGAGUUCAGUGUCCAGAGUAACUGGACGUUCUUCACAGUUUUUUAUUUGACUGUUCAACCAUGGAGAUUCAUUGUCAGAUCUGAAAGCAGAUUGUUUCUUGGGACCAGCAUCUCUUUUUGGUCUGAGUUUAACCCCGUAAGGUUGAUGUCCUCGCCCCAGCAGAAAUCAGAUUAGCAUAAUAAUGAAAUCAACAAUAAAAAUCUGUCAAUUUAAGAUAGAGA